GAUGAUCCACAUGUGCCUGAUUGUGACUGUACUGGUUUUGCAGAGACUUCAUUAUCACGUGUCUGUGGUGUUCUCGUGAGGGACUGCAGAACAGCAUGUGAAAAUAAGGAUAAUGGCACAGACUGCUCUAAGUGCCUUCCAGUAUGUCCAGAUGAACCCAGUGAAGCUUUGCAAGAGG